GAACGCACAUUGCGCCCCUUGGUAUUCCGGGGGGCUUGCCUGUUCGAGCGUCAUUAUAACCCUCAAGCCUAGCUUGGUGUUGGAGCAUGCUAUCUAGCAGCUCUUAAAAUCAGUGGCAGUGCCUUCCGGCUCUAAGCGUAGUAAUUCUUCUCGCUAUGGAAACCGGUUGGUCCGCGCCAGAACCCCCAAUUUUCUAUGGUUGACCUCGGAUCAGGUAGGGAUACCCGCUGAACUUAAG
rnacentral:misc_RNA from 1 species